rnacentral:tRNA from 1 species
ACCUGAGUGGCUCAGUUGGUUAAGCAUCUGACUUCAACUCAGGUCAUCAUCCCAUGGUUUGUGGGUUUGAGCCCUGCAUCAGGCC